CUCUUCCACAAAGAUCUUGCACAAGGGAAAAACAUGUAAUUUAUGUUUGCACAGUUUUGUUUUCUUACUUUCCUCAUCUUCAUAACAUUGCUUUCAGGAAUGGGGCCAUUUAGUCAUUAACAGUGGUUCCUUACUUGAAACAAUUGGAUUGGAGAUGUGACAUGAUGCCCUGGGCGGAGCCUGACAUCUGGCCUCAUGAAGCAGCAAGCAAUGCAGACCUGGUGAUUGAUCAGUUUCAUCUGUCUGAUGGAGGCAUUGCUCUACUUAAAAAAGACGGGAGAAGACGAGGUUGGAGGCAAGGAUUUGUGAAAAACGUGUGGCAGCUGUCCAGGUGCUGAACCUAGACCCAAACAGGAAUCAUCUUUCCACAGGCACAAAGUGGAAGAGGUGGAUUUGAGUCCUGUUUCAUGUCUUUCUGGUGUAUGCCAUGAAACAAACUCAGGUCUUAUUGUUCUUGAGAAAGACUUGUUACCUAAGUGAUAUGACCAGGAAGAAAAGCCCAGAGGACUGAGACGUACUGAGAAGGGAGGAGGACGGUUACUAGGAGCCUCUCUGACCACAGCUCUGUGGUGCUGAUGAGCAGGGGAGCGACAUGCAGACGGCAAAAUGGCAGCAGGCCAGGAAAGAAGGGAAAUGAUGAAGGAGUUGCUCAUGUCUGGACUGAACGAAGAAUCCCGUAUCUAAGAUAUCGCCAGCCUACAGAACUAGACAACUUGUGUCAGAUGGGAAGUAUUCUUAUCUUUCCAGUAGAAGAAAAGUCACUCUACCUUUUCUUUCUUUCAGAGUUUUCUUCAGUCCCUAUGAUGUGGGCAAGUGUGCACUGUCUUCUGUAAUCUGCCCACUCUCCCUCUUUCUGGAACUUUCCCCUACCCACACAUUUACGGGCACAGUUGUGUUCCUAUAGUAUCAUUCUGCUCUUUGGAGGAUCCUGAGGGCUAUGCAUUAGAGGAAAAGCAGCCCCUCUGCUCUAGGAGAUUUUGACUUUUGGCUUUUCAUGUGUAUUUGCUUUUAUCAAAGCAGAGAAUUUGCAACUGGCUGGGUACAAUUGUACUUGGACAUUGUGCUGGGUCUUGGGGACAUCCUAAGCUGCUGCCUGGGAAUGCCAGUUUCUCAUAAAGAUUUACAAAUCAAAUCUAGCAGCUUCCCUGCUUAAGUAAAAAAAAUUACAUAAUUUCUUCUGUACCGCUGCAUUAGGCAGUUUUUUUUUUUUCUUUUCCUGAAUGUACUAUAAAUCUAGGGUGAUUUAAGCCAUGGUGCCUUUCCUUAAACACAACUUGAAAUUGCUACCAAAUUUAAAUAAAAAAUAAAUUCUAUGUCA